rnacentral:rRNA from 1 species
UACAGAGGUCCCAAGCGUUACUGAGAAUCACUGGGUUUAAAGGGCGCGUAGGUGGUCCGUUAAGUCAGUUGUGAAAUCCCCGGGCUCAACCCGGGAACUGCUUCUGAUACUGGCGGACUUGAGGCCAGUAGGGGUCACUAGAACUGACGGUGGAGCGGUGAAAUGCGUAGAUAUCGGCAGGAAUGCCGGUGGUGAAGACGGGUGACUGGGCUGGUUCUGACACUGAGGCACGAAAGCGUGGGGAGCGAACGGG